GGUUGUGACUUAGCGGUAGGGUGCUUGCCUAGCAUGCAUAAGGCCCUGGGUUCAAUCCUCAGCACCA
rnacentral:tRNA from 1 species